UCCCUGGUGGCUCAGAUGGUAAAGCGUCUGCCUGUAAUGCAGGAGACCUGGGUUCAAUCCUUGACUUGGGAA
rnacentral:tRNA from 1 species